GGGUGUCCGUGCCGCAUGCUCGCGGCCGGGCAGGUUUUCGUGAUGGUCGGGCCGCCUCA
rnacentral:ncRNA from 2 species